rnacentral:rRNA from 1 species
CUGAGAGGAUGAUCAGCCACACUGGGACUGAGACACGGCCCAGACUCCUACGGGAGGCAGCAGUGGGGAAUAUUGGACAAUGGGCGAAAGCCUGAUCCAGCCAUGCCGCGUGUGUGAAGAAGGCCUUUUGGUUGUAAAGCACUUUAAGUGGGGAGGAAAAGCUUAUGGUUAAUACCCAUAAGCCCUGACGUUACCCACAGAAUAAGCACCGGCUAACUCUGUGCCAGCAGCCGCGGUAAUACAGAGGGUGCAAGCGUUAAUCGGAAUUACUGGGCGUAAAGCGCGCGUAGGUGGUUAUUUAAGUCAGAUGUGAAAGCCCCGGGCUUAACCUGGGAACUGCAUCUGAUACUGGAUAACUAGAGUAGGUGAGAGGGGAGUAGAAUUCCAGGUGUAGCGGUGAAAUGCGUAGAGAUCUGGAGGAAUACCGAUGGCGAAGGCAGCUCCCUGGCAUCAUACUGACACUGAGGUGCGAAAGCGUGGGUAGCAAACAGGAUUAGAUACCCUGGUAGUCCACGCCGUAAACGAUGUCUACCAGUCGUUGGGUCUUUUAAAGACUUAGU